ACCGGGUAGAUAGUCUUAGGAUUCUGUCAAGAAUGACUCAGUUGGGAUGUGUCAUCAGGCGAACAUAUUCUGUGCCAUGCCCAAAGUACUUGGUACAAUAUUGUGGUCUUUGCUGGGAUUGAUGGCUUUUCACGCAAGAUAACAACCGAUCUGACACAAGGCUGUCUUUCUUCAGUCAGGCUGUUGAGGAAUUUGGAUACCCACAGAAAGUUCGAGCUGAUCAAGGAGGAGAGAACGUUGGAGUGGCUCUUCUGAUGUUUACUGCGCACGGGCCAGACAGUAACUGCUUUAUAGCAGGCAAAAGUGUCCAUA